rnacentral:rRNA from 1 species
GACGAACGCUGGCGGCGUGCCUAAUACAUGCAAGUUGAGCGCUGAAGGUUGGUACUUGUACCAACUGGAUGAGCAGCGAACGGGUGAGUAACGCGUGGGGAAUCUGCCUUUGAGCGGGGGACAACAUUUGGAAACGAAUGCUAAUACCGCAUAAAAACUUUAAACACAAGUUUUAAGUUUGAAAGAUGCAAUUGCAUCACUCAAAGAUGAUCCCGCGUUGUAUUAGCUAGUUGGUGAGGUAAAGGCUCACCAAGGCGAUGAUACAUAGCCGACCUGAGAGGGUGAUCGGCCACAUUGGGACUGAGACACGGCCCAAACUCCUACGGGAGGCAGCAGUAGGGAAUCGUCGGCAAUGGACGAAAGGCUGACCGAGCAACGCCGCGUGAGUGAAGAAGGUUUUCGGAUCGUAAAACUCUGUUGGUAGAGAAGAACGUUGGUGAGAGUGGAAAGCUCAUCAAGUGACGGUAACUACCCAGAAAGGGACGGCUAACUACGUG